GCCUUGUUGAUGUUUUUAUUCUAGUUGCCACCUACUGUAGAUUCAUUAUCAUUUGUGGGGUACCAAUUUUAUUUUUAUUUAAUUUAAACGUUGAAUAAAGUAAAAAUUGUCUAUUGACUUGUAUAUAAGCGUUUGCUGAACCAUGCAAUUAAAUUAUCUAGGAAAUAUAUACAAAUACUUAACCAAAUAAAUUGGUUCCCACCAAAAUAAAUGAAUCCUCAGUCUGAUCACAUAUUAUUGCUGUUAAUUUGUGGAUAUCAUGCAUACACUUAUUAUUGAUAGUAUUAUGAGUAACAUUAUAAUGAAAUGUUUUUCCUGUUUAGACAUAAAUGCAGUAAUUCAUUCUCAUUUUUACUUUUUACUAAAAAGAGAGCUACGAAUUGAAUACAUUAAUGAAAUGAAAUUAAGAAUAUUUCAACACAAAUAUGAAAAUGAUUUAAGAAGUGGUGAAAAGAAGUGUUGAAUCAAAUUAAAAUUUCUUUCUCUUGUUAAAAUGAUUUCACACAGAGAGUUAAAUAGAUAAAAAUAACAAGUUCUUUUUAGUACUGAUUACAAAUUUUCAUAUUGAUCUUACUUGACUAUUAUUGAAAAAAAAAGUUGUCACUCAUUAAAUUCUGUCCACAGAUUUUUGAAUAAACAUGGAAACCUGUUAUAUAAUUGUAACAGGAGGGUCGGGCGGCUAUGCGUCACCAAACCCUGCUGACUACUAAAGUGUCUGAUAUUGCCAC
rnacentral:lncRNA from 1 species